GACGAACGCUGGCGGCGUGCUUAACACAUGCAAGUCGAACGGAAAGGCCCUGCUUUUGUGGGGUGCUCGAGUGGCGAACGGGUGAGUAACACGUGAGUAACCUGCCCUUGACUUUGGGAUAACUUCAGGAAACUGGGGCUAAUACCGGAUAUGAGCUCCUGCUGCAUGGUGGGGGUUGGAAAGUUUCGGCGGUUGGGGAUGGACUCGCGGCUUAUCAGCUUGUUGGUGGGGUAGUGGCUUACCAAGGCUUUGACGGGUAGCCGGCCUGAGAGGGUGACCGGCGACAUUGGGACUGAGAUACGGCCCAGACUCCCACGGGAGGCAGCAGUGGGGAAUAUUGCACAAUGGGCGGAAGCCUGAUGCAGCAACGCCGCGUGCGGGAUGACGGCCUUCGGGUUGUAAACCGCUUUCGCCUGUGACGAAGCGUGAGUGACGGUAAUGGGUAAAGAAGCACCGGCUAACUACGUG
rnacentral:rRNA from 1 species